GUCGAAAGGGCACCUAGGGGUGCGGCGGCCAAAAGGUAGGCCGACGGCAUAGGAGAAAG
ncrna:unclassified sequences Actino-ugpB RNA